rnacentral:rRNA from 1 species
CCUAUCAGGUAGUUGGUGAGGUAAUGGCUCACCAAGCCUACGACGGGUAGCCGGCCUGAGAGGGUGACCGGCCACACUGGGACUGAGACACGGCCCAGACUCCUACGGGAGGCAGCAGUGGGGAAUAUUGCACAAUGGGCGAAAGCCUGAUGCAGCAACGCCGCGUGAGGGACGACGGCCUUCGGGUUGUAAACCUCUUUUAGUAGGGAAGAAGCGAAAGUGACGGUACCUGCAGAAAAAGCACCGGCUAACUACGUGCCAGCAGCCGCGGUAAUACGUAGGGUGCAAGCGUUGUCCGGAAUUAUUGGGCGUAAAGAGCUCGUAGGCGGUUUGUCGCGUCUGCUGUGAAAACUGGAGGCUCAACCUCCAGCCUGCAGUGGGUACGGGCAGACUA